UACGUAGGCAGCAAGCGUUGUUCGGAAUUACUGGGCGUAAAGAGUGUGUAGGCGGUGCUCUAAGUUUGGUGUGAAAUCUCCCGGCUCAACUGGGAGGGUGCGCCGAAAACUGGAAUGCUUGAACAUGGGAGAGGAAAGCGGAAUUCCUGGUGUAGCGGUGAAAUGCGUAGAUAUCAGGAGGAACACCUGCGGUGUAGACGGCUUUCUGGACCAUUGUUGACGCUGAGACACGAAAGCGUGGGGAGCAAACAGG
rnacentral:rRNA from 1 species